UUAGGAUGAAGUAAAAAAAAAAAAAAUCAGACUAAUGGGAGUUUCUUACCCAUAGACUUUCUUGAAAGAACUACUAACAGAGGUACUUCAACAUAAAGAAAAGGCAAGAGUGUAAGAGUCUGGUGUGAGAAAAAAUAGCAUGAUAAAAAGGCAGAAUCAAACUACAGCCAACUUAUGGUGAGGAGCUCUUCAAACCAUUACUGAAAUUGACAUUAAAACACACCUGCUGCACAAGGAGUAACACCAGAGGAUCAAGAUUAUGGGGGUAAAAUUCUUCCUCCUACUGGCUCUUAACUGGAAAUGAUAGAACUAGAUUUGGUCAUCCUGAGUAUGGUGGUGAUAUCUUCCUCAGUGAGAAAGAAAUUACAAGAACAGAAGUCAGUUGGGUGCCUGUGAAGCACUGGUUCUGAAUAUGAAUUAACUCAUUUAAGGAUCUGAGGAUUUCUAAAGGUGAGAUUAGGCUAUGCAGAGAGGAAAACUCGGGAAGAUUCUGCGGCUAAACACAUUAAAAUUGCAUUAUGUGUCUUGCUCCAUGCUACUCCAUGUCCAAACAGCUUUCUCAAGUACUUCUUUCCACCGGAUUUCUGCCUUUUCUUCCCCCACCUUCACCUCAUGAAGUUCUGUGCAUCGUUCAAGGUCAAUUUCUAGCAUCAGGCCCUUCAAGAUCUUGCUCACAUGGGAUUGUAAUACCAUUGAAAUUAAAGCAGAGAGAUGCAUUUAGGAAAUCUCCUGACUUAAAAUGCUUCACAGAACUCCAAAAUUAAAUGACAUCAUACAUGUAAAAUGCUGAGCAGAACACAUGUGAUUUGGCAAGACGUCCUUGUGAAGAAAGAUAAAGAGGGGAUUUGAACAUCAUGCAGGAGAACAUUUCUGAAUUACAUCAAAUGUGGCAAUAUUACUGUAUUUUGAAACUGCUUAAAAGCAUAGAGUUGAACAAAAAUCAAAAUGACUCCAUAAAAUCUUCAAUGAGGUUGGAUUUUAAACUAAGUGAUCUUUUCCCUCUCUUCUGCAAACCUCCCUCACUCCUUUCUUGGCUUUUAGUUUCUGGAACCAGCACCACCCUGAAAACAACUAAGGAGGUUGGCAGCAUAAACAUAAUUCUGGUAGAACCCCACUUGAUCCUGGCUUUCCCUAUAAAACCCCCUAGCCCCUUCCUCUGGACAGACUUGCAGUUUUUGAAGGCCAUAGCCUGUGGCAGCCUCCUUUGUCUUGCAAAGCAAUAAAGCUAUUGUUUCUCUCUA